GACGAACCACACGAACGUUAUUCGGAAUUACUGGGCUUAAAGGGUGCGUAGGCUGUGCGGAAAGUUGGGUGUGAAAUCCCCCGGCUCAACCGGGGAAUUGCGCUCAAAACUACCGUGCUGGAGGAAGACAGAGGUGAGCGGAACUUCGGGUGGAGCGGUGAAAUGCGUUGAUAUCCGAAGGAACACCGGUGGCGAAAGCGGCUCACUGGGUCUUUUCUGACGCUGAUGCACGAAAGCUAGGGGAGCAAACGGG
rnacentral:rRNA from 1 species